UAGCAAUACCUAGCGGCAGACGGGUGCGUAACAUGUGGGAAUCUGCCUUUUGGUUCGGAACAACAUGGGGAAACCUGUGCUAAUACCGGAUAAGUCCUAACGGAGAAAGUUUUAAUGCCAAAAGAUGAGCCCGCAUUUGAUUAGCUUGUUGGUGAGGUAAAAGCUCACCAAGGCUAUAAUCAAUAGCUGAUUUGAGAGGAUGAUCAGCCACACUGGGACUGAGAUACGGCCCAGACUCCUACGGGAGGCAGCAGUGGGGAAUCUUGCACAAUGGGCGAAAGCCUGAUGCAGCGAUGCCGCGUGAGUGAAGAAGGCCUUUGGGUUGUAAAGCUCUUUUGUCGGGAAAGAUAAUGACUGUACCCGAAGAAUAAGGUCCGGCUAACUUCGUGCCAGCAGCCGCGGUAAUACGAAGGGACCUAGCGUAGUUCGGAAUUACUGGGCGUAAAGAGUAUGUAGGCGGCUAGAUAAGUUAAUUGUGAAAGCCCAAAGCUUAACUUUGGAAUUGCAAUUAA
rnacentral:rRNA from 1 species